CCCUCUGAGUGCAGGGGCCAGUUUCACACUAUACCUGGGAAGCUCGCGGGAGGCACGCAAACCAACAGACGAAGUUCACAGAGAUGAACUCCCACAGAAGAAGGUUGGAGAGCAGUCCCUGGAGUUGACUAUAAUUCUACCACUUUCUCUUCUUAAGAAAGCAAUUUAGACUUUCAGUGGUACAACUCUGUUUCCAGCAAUAUGGCAGAAGAGAUAAGCCUUUAACAACAAAACCUGCAAAUGGCAGAUAAUAUGACCUCAGCUGACUGAGGUCAGAAGAAAGGAAGGGAAGCACUCAGGAGUGAAGGAACUGAAACCUGAGAUGAUAACCUCCCACUUUCCAACACAAGAAAGACCAGAGGCACAGAGGGUUCUUCAGAGGCCACCGUGGUGGCUGGGAUUCCACUGGGCAUUCGGACACCUGGGCCUGAAUCCAGCUCUGCCACCCAAGGUAAGUCCCAGCCUCUUAAACCUUGUUUUCCUCAUCUAUGAAAUAGAGAUAAUAUGACAAAGAAAAAACAGAGCUGGACAGUAGUUAAAGCAUCAAAAGCAGAUUUUCUUCAGGACUGUUGAAGCAGGGGAAAGGACUUUAGGAUAAAACCAGGCUCAACUCCAAAUACAGCAUAUGGAUAAGUGGAAACUUAGAGCCAAGGAGCGGGGCGCAAAGGGGGUUCGUGGAUGGAAAACUAUAAAGAGAACACAUCAGGGGUAAGUGGGAUUCUG
rnacentral:lncRNA from 1 species